rnacentral:rRNA from 1 species
CCUACGGGAGGCAGCAGUGGGGAAUAUUGCGCAAUGGGGGCAACCCUGACGCAGCAACGCCGCGUGAUUGAAGAAGGCCUUCGGGUUGUAAAGAUCUUUUAUUGGGGAAGAAACAAAUGUCGGUAGCUAAAGAAUAAGUACCCGCCAACUAGGUUCCAGCAGCCGCGGUAAUACGUAGGGAGCAAGCGUUAUUCGGAUUUACUGGGUGUAAAGGGUGCGUAGGUGGGCGGGAGAGUUGGGAGUGAAAUACCGGGGCUUAACCCCGGAACUGAAUUCAAAACUGCUGGUCUUGAGUGAGGGAGAGGCAGGCGGAAUUACGUGUGUAGCGGUGAAAUGCGUAGAUAUACGGAAGAACACCGGUGGCGAAGGCGGCCUGCUGGACAUUAACUGACGCUGAGGAGCGAAAGCGUGGGGAGCAAACAGGAUUAGAUACCCGAGUAGUC